AUGCACGCUGGCGGCGUGCCUAAUCCCUGCCAGUCGAGCGAACGGACGAGAAGCUUGCUUCUCUGAUGUUAGCGGCGGACGGGUAAGUAACACGUGGAUAACCUACCUAUAAGACUGGGAUAACUUCGGGAAACCGGAGCUAAUACCGGAUAAUAUUUUGAACCGCAUGGUUCAAAAGUGAAAGACGGUCUUGCUGUCACUUAUAGAUGGAUCCGCGCUGCAUUAGCUAGUUGGUAAGGUAACGGCUUACCAAGGCAACGAUGCAUAGCCGACCUGAGAGGGUGAUCGGCCACACUGGAACUGAGACACGGUCCAGACUCCUACGGGAGGCAGCAGUAGGGAAUCUUCCGCAAUGGGCGAAAGCCUGACGGAGCAACGCCGCGUGAGUGAUGAAGGUCUUCGGAUCGUAAAACUCUGUUAUUAGGGAAGAACAUAUGUGUAAGUAACUGUGCACAUCUUGACGGUACCUAAUCAGAAAGCCACGGCUAACUACGUG
rnacentral:rRNA from 1 species